CAGUAGCCGCGGUAAUACGAACCGUGCGAACGUUAUUCGGAAUUACUGGGCUUAAAGCGCGUGUAGGCGGAUCGCCACGUCGGUCGCUGAAAUCCCCCGGCUCAACCGGGGAACGGGCGCCGAUACGGGCGGUCUCGAGGGGGGUAGGGGGGACCGGAACUUCCGGUGGAGCGGUGAAAUGCGUUGAGAUCGGAAGGAACGCCCGUGGCGAAAGCGAGUCCCUGGACCCUUUCUGACGCUGAGACGCGAAAGCCAGGGGAGCGAACGGGAUUAGAUACCCGCGUAGUCCCUGUCUCUUAUA
rnacentral:rRNA from 1 species